rnacentral:rRNA from 1 species
CUGCGGAGGGAUCAUUACCGAGUUUACAACUCCCAAACCCCUGUGAACAUACCAAUUGUUGCCUCGGCGGAUCAGCCCGCUCCCGGUAAAACGGGACGGCCCGCCAGAGGACCCCUAAACUCUGUUUCUAUAUGUAACUUCUGAGUAAAACCAUAAAUAAAUCAAAACUUUCAACAACGGAUCUCUUGGUUCUGGCAUCGAUGAAGAACGCAGCAAAAUGCGAUAAGUAAUGUGAAUUGCAGAAUUCAGUGAAUCAUCGAAUCUUUGAACGCACAUUGCGCCCGCCAGUAUUCUGGCGGGCAUGCCUGUUCGAGCGUCAUUUCAACCCUCAAGCCCAGCUUGGUGUUGGGACUCGCGAGUCAAAUCGCGUUCCCCAAAUUGAUUGGCGGUCACGUCGAGCUUCCAUAGCGUAGUAGUAAAACCCUCGUUACUGGUAAUCGUCGCGGCCACGCCGUUAAACCCCAACUUCUGAAUGUUGACCUCGGAUCAGGUAGGAAUACCCGCUGAACUUAAGCAUAU